rnacentral:lncRNA from 1 species
GGAAUAUAGCAUGUCUUGGUCUCUGAGAGCCAAUAUAUCUGGGUUACACUGAAAGAGGAAUAACGAGAUAAUAUUUACACUGUACAUUGAAGAUGACCUGAAAAGCUGGAAGAGCUCAGACAGACAUCAGCUGGAUGAAGCCCCAGGUUCAAACAAACUUGCCUUGGAUAUCAAAGUACUAGUAGCAAAGGAACUCCCAAUUCCUCACCUGCUGUGAAGUUUCCCAUUCACUGCAAGCAAAGUCCAGGUGAAAG